rnacentral:rRNA from 1 species
CCUACGGGUGGCAGCAGUGGGGAAUAUUGCGCAAUGGGCGAAAGCCUGACGCAGCGACGCCGCGUGAGGGAUGAAGGUCCUCGGAUCGUAAACCUCUGUCAGCAGGGAAGAACGGUCACUGUGCUAAUCAGCAGUGAAUUGACGGUACCUGCAAAGGAAGCACCGGCUAACUCCGUGCCAGCAGCCGCGGUAAUACGGAGGGGCCGAGCGUUAAUCGGAAUUACUGGGCGUAAAGGGCGCGUAGGCGGUAUGUCAAGUCAAGGGUGAAAGCCCGGGGCUCAACGGGGGAACUGCCUUUGAAACUGGCAGACUGGAGUGUGUGAGAGGAUAGCGGAAUUCGAGGUGUAGCGGUGAAAUGCGUAGAUAUCAGGAGGAACAUCGGUGGCGAAGGCGACUAUCUG